AGAUGUCAUAUUUGAAGAAAGCAAAGGGUGGAAUUGGAAUAAGGCUAGCACCAGCAAUGGUGGUGAACAAAUCAGUGAAAAUGAAGCAGAUAUAGAGGUUGAAAACAAUGAUACAGAUGCUUUGAAUGAUGAAAACAAUGAAGGAAUAUUGGAAAAUGAGAAUGAAGCAGGUUCUAGUGAUAUGGAUCUUGAGGAUAGUGAAGAAGAACAAGCCAUUUCACCUAGGCCUAGAAAGCCACCAGGUUAUCUAAGAGACUAUGUGACUGGUAAUGAGUUACCAGAUGAUGAUGAUCAGCUUCAGAAUCUUGCUAUAGCU
rnacentral:lncRNA from 1 species